rnacentral:tRNA from 1 species
CAUUAAGUGGCUGAAAUAAAAUAAGCGUUGAUCUCUUAAAUCAAAAAUAACAAAAAUGUUCUUAAUGA